AGUAACACGUGAGCAACCUGCCUUUAAGAGUGGGAUAACGGUACGGAAACGACCGCUAAUACCGCAUAAUAUACAUGAAUCGCAUGGUUUGUGUAUCAAAGAUUUAUCGCUUAAAGAUGGGCUCGCGUCUGAUUAGCUGGUUGGUGAGGUAACGGCUCACCAAGGCGACGAUCAGUAGCCGUACUGAGAGGUCGAACGGCCACAUUGGGACUGAGACACGGCCCAGACUCCUACGGAAGGCAGCAG
rnacentral:rRNA from 1 species